AGAAGGCGAGGGCUGCAGCAGAGGCAUCCUCGCGUCAAAGGGAAUUUCCUGAUGAUGCGAAAUGCGGGGGAAUCUCGGGGAGUUGCUUGCUUGCUUGCUUGCAUUGGCGAGGCGGCCCGGCGCUGCCCCCUGCCGGCCGAGGGACGAACGACACCCUUUCGCCCUUCCUGGCUGCCACUGCGGGUCUUUCUUUGGCGGCGGCAGCAGCAGCAGCAUCAGCGUGGUCUCCCAGACACGUCACUCUGCAGGCUUCGGAGGCUCCCUUUCGCCUUCAGCGAUGCGGGGAAAACAGCCACAGCUGCCACCGAAAACCCAUCAUAGAUUUAAAAAGCCGUGCAAAACAUAAACAAACAAAUCAAGGAUCGGCAACGCUAAGACGGUCCUGGAGAAUUCCAUACUCAUUUUGACUUGGCAUGCAGAAGAAUGAGGAAGUACUCCAUCAAAGGAUUCAGUGUCACAAGUGGACAGUGAAGCAGCAGCUCCCCUUGUGGCCGGAAUCAUGAAGCUGGAAAAACGGGAAUAUUAAAUUGCCUCUAUGUCUAUGUAUGUUGUAGGUCUAAUGGCAUUGAAUGUUUGCCAUGUAUAUGUGAAUUGUAAUCUGCCCUGAGUCCCCUGUCGGGUGAGAAGGGCGAAAUAUAAAUACUGCAAAUAAAUAAAUAAAGAACAGCGUGGAUGUAUCUGUACAGAUCAAGUGAACUCUGAGGAUCCACAGAGGGCAGGAUACCUUGUUUCAUAUAAUUAGGAUUUGCUACUUUGCUUAUAACCCUUGCUACACAAGCAGCAACUGCUCAAAACUCUCUCUUCUACACAAUCAUUAGAGGGUGUUCAAUCCAGUUUUCACUCUGGCA